rnacentral:lncRNA from 10 species
CCUGUUACAGAUUGGCAAACCACAAUUAUAGGCCCUAAUGACAGCCCUUAUCAAGGCAGUAUAUUCUUUUUGACACAAUGUUGCAUUAUAACUGGAAUUCAUCAUCCAAAUAUUGGCAUAAUAUUAAAUUUUAAAUAAUAUUUAAAUGUGAAUGAUUCUAAUAUAUCACUCAAACAUUAAAUAAUAAUGGGAGCAUUCAUCUUAGAAUCACAGUGGUCUCUUGCUUUUAUUGUUUCUAAAGUUAUUCUACUCAUUUUGUCACUGCUAUAUAGCCCAAACUCAGAUGAUGUCCUAGUGCCAGAAAUCGCAUAGAUCCAUAAAUCAGACAGAUGAGCACAACAGAAUAUCUUAGCAAUGGACUCCGAAGCAUG